rnacentral:rRNA from 1 species
AUGAGCCUAUGUUAGAUUAGCUAGUUGGUAGGGUAAAGGCCUACCAAGGCGAUGAUCUAUAGCUGGUCUGAGAGGAUGAUCAGCCACACUGGAACUGAGAUACGGUCCAGACUCCUACGGGAGGCAGCAGUGGGGAAUAUUGGACAAUGGGCGCAAGCCUGAUCCAGCUAUGCCGCGUGAGUGAGGAAGGCCCUAGGGUUGUAAAACUCUUUCAGUAGGGAAGAUACUGACGGUAC